GACGAUCGCUGGCGGCGUGCCUAAUACAUGCAAGUUGAGCGCUGAAGGUUGGUACUUGUACCAACUGGAUGAGCAGCGAACGGGUGAGUAACGCGUGGGGAAUCUGCCUUUGAGCGGGGGACAACAUUUGGAAACGAAUGCUAAUACCGCAUAAAAACUUUAAACACAAGUUUUAAGUUUGUAAGAUGCAAUUGCAUCACUCAAAGAUGAUCCCGCGUUGUAUUAGCUAGUUGGUGAGGUAAAGGCUCACCAAGGCGAUGAUACAUAGCCGACCUGAGAGGGUGAUCGGCCACAUUGGGACUGAGACACGGCCCAAACUCCUACGGGAGGCAGCAGUAGGGAAUCUUCGGCAAUAGACGAAAGGCUGACCGAGCAACGACGCGUGAGGGAAGAAGGUUUUCGGAUCGUAAAACUCUGUUGGUAGAGAAGAACGUUGGUGAGAGUGGAAAGCUCAUCAAGUGACGGUAACUACACAGAAAGGGACGGCUAACUACGUG
rnacentral:rRNA from 1 species